GGUUGUGUAGUGUAGUGGUUAUCACUCCAGAUUCUGAUACAGGAUCUUCUGGCGACCCCGGUUCGACUCCGGGCACGACCU
rnacentral:tRNA from 1 species